UAUUCUAUUAGUAUAAAUAAUAUUACAAUUAGCUUCCAACUAAAAAAUCUUUGAUAGAAU
rnacentral:tRNA from 1 species